AUCCUCAUCAAAGUAUUUAUACCCAGCCGUAACCUUCUCUUUAUUCUACUGCAAAUAAAUAUUGUAAUUCUGUAAGAUCUGCUGUGUAACAAGUCAGAAAAAAAAGAGUAUAACAUUGGUGAAACAUUGUAUCAAAAAGGAAAUGAGUGUUAGAGAAACUAUGUUACCAAUUCAUUUCCAAUGUACUCGGAGAAACGCAUUUACUAAAGAGAACCCUCUUGCAACCCAAGGGGACUGGACUAUAAUUCACAUUGAAUCCAAAGCAGUAUAAAAAUUCCGAUGUCUUUAAUUCUUGCACUUAUUAUUUGCAAUUUAUUUUCUGUCAUUAUAAUUGCUGAGUUAUUAUAUCCGUCAACUUUUGUUAAACUAGUCAACUAAUAAGUAGUUAAGUUUAUAUACAAUUCACCCCCUCAUCCUUGUACUCUCAUGAUUAAGUUGUUUCCGUGUGACCUAUAUAGAUUAGGGGUUCGAGCCAUGGAAUUAGCCACCGAUGCUUGCAUUAGGGUAGAUUGCCUAUAUCACACCACCUUAGGAUGCGUCACUUUCCCCGACCCUGUUUGAAUAUCUAAUGCUUUGUGCACCAAGCUACCCCUUCAUGAUUAAAUGAUAAAUCAAUGAUGUAAAAAUAUGUAUUUGUCACACCUCCUUUUUACAAGCACCCCAAAGGAUGGAGCAUAAGGGAGUUUUUUCAAUAUAAGUGAAAUUAUUCGAAAUGGGAUCAUUUAUUCAUUUUUAUUCAGAGCCACCACUUGGGAUAAGUUUGUUUCUGGUGUCUCAAGUCACCGCUUUAUUUUAAAUCCCAAAUCGAGGAAAAUUCGACUUUCCUUGUGAAGUGUGUGAACUAGAAAUUCUGAAUAAGGAAUUCUGUUAAUCCGAGGGAAGGUGUUAGGCAUCCCGGAUUUUGUGGUUCUAGCACGAUCGCUUAAACUAUCAUAAUUGGCCUAUUAUUUGAUUUUAAUACAUGUUUUAGCCUAUUGUAUAUUUUAACUUAUUAAACCGCUUUUAAUUAAUUUUAGGAAGAUUCAACGUUAUCUAAAAUACGUCUUUGAACCAUGCCACAUGAAAUGCACUCCCAGUCCGUGACAUAUUUUAUUUAACGUUGUUAAGAUUUGGAUUUGGGUCACAUGAAAUGCACAUCCGAAUUUAAGAAGAUAAUUUUUAAAAUAGCGCGCAACUACGCACUUUCAACUUUGCGAGGGCCAUAAAAAUUCACUAAUGGCACAUCUCGAUUUCUAAAGUGAUAAAAUAUUAAUUAAAAGAGGGCAAUGAAUCAUCUUUUGCUCUUACCAAGUGGGCCCUAUGGAAAAUAAAUUAUUUGAUCCAUGCUAUUACUAAUAAAUUCGAAACCCAAUUAGUGAAAACCAACCCACAGACAAAAACCUAAGACACAACAGACAGCCAAAAAAAUUCACAGUACAACUGGGAUGGAGAUGAUGAAGAUUAUUUAAUUUCUGGUUUCAGGGAUUCACCCUCUAAAUUCCAAGAAACUCUUUUGCCAUAUUUGGAAAGAAUUUCAAAGACCUCUAGAGUUUACCUCAACAAAGCAAAUAAAGAAAUAACAAAGAACUUCAAGCCCUAUGUCGGACACAAACAAUUGCUUCUAUUAUUUUACUUGCAUUCAUAUUGAUCCCUUUACUACUUGUUUCUCUCAUUUCCAAUAAAAUCAAAGACUAUCUGUCUCCCUCCAAAGCUUUCAAUCUAAUAAUCUAACAAUGAAUGGCAAAACAACUAAUAAUCUGUGAUAAAUAAAUAUAAAAUUAACAACUGACAAUAAAAUUAACAAUCAGUAAUAAACUAACAUGACAAUAUAAAAUUAAAAAAAAAGAUAACAAAUAUAUUACAACUAUUCAAAUUUACAAAGGCAAGACGUAAAAGCGAGAUGACAAAACUGACCCAGCGAAAACGUAACAGGAACACUCACGUUUACAACAACGUCGAGCUUCAGCAGCUCGAACUCGACGAAAAAAAUGGACAGCAAUAACCAUAGACCGGAAUCAACGUACGACAACCUCGACAUAGGCGGCAGCCAAACUCUACUGAACCUAAGAUGGAAUGGAAGGCUCGAACUCGACCCUUUCCCAUCUCUGCUCGAAAAAUUCGCCGACUCCUCACCGCCAAUAAGGGCUUUAAACAAGACGUUGCUAUUGUAGAUUUUUAAAUAUGUCACAGAUAUUGGAGGUGGAAUCAAAACUUUGCAGCAAAUACUACUUUGGUUUGAACGAUGAGAAAGACGCUGAAAACGGUGGCUUUUGUGAAUGUUAAUGCACAAUUCUAUUUUUAGUUAAGCAUUAGCCAUGGAAAUUGGCUGCUUUGAAGAGGAUGAGUCGAUUGGUUGGGGGNN
rnacentral:lncRNA from 1 species